GAUGAACGCUAGCGGCAGGCCUAAUACAUGCAAGCCGAACGGCAAGAUUUUCAGCAAUGGAAAUCCUAGAGUGGCGUAAGGGUGCGUAACACGUAUGCAAUCUGCCCUCAACAGGAGGAUAGCUCCCCGAAAGGGGAAUUAAGACUCCAUAAGAUCUUAGAGUGGCAUCACUUAGAGAUUAAACUACCAGGGGUUGAGGAUGAGCAUGCGCAUGAUUAGUUAGUUGGCGGGGUAACGCCCACCAAGACGAUGAUCAUUAGGGGAACUGAGAGGUUGACU
rnacentral:rRNA from 1 species